GACGAACUGUGCAAACGUUAUUCGGAAUCACUGGGCUUGAAGAGUGCGUAGGCGGUUUCGUAAGUAGGGUGUGAAAGCCCUCGGCUCAACCGGGGAAUUGCGUCCUAAACUGCGAGGCUGGAGUGAGGUAGGGGUGUGUGGAACUUCCAGUGUAGAGGUGAAAUUCGUAGAUAUUGGGAAGAACACCGAUGGCGAAGGCAGCCAUCUGGACCGACACUGACGCUGAGGCGCGAAAGCGUGGGGAGCAAACAGG
rnacentral:rRNA from 1 species